UGAAGAAACUACCAAUGAUAUGAUUGAACCUGCUGGAUCGGUAGUCUGCUCGCCCACAUCAGUCGAUGUGUCUUCUGACUGAGGUACUUCUAGUUGAGGCUCUUCUAGUUGGGGUUCUUCCGCUUGUGGUGCUCCUUGCGGUUGAGAAGGGGAUGGUACUUGCUGUGUCUGUGUUUCUGGAGGAGAGGGAGAAGAUUCUACCUGAAUUGGAGAUACCGGGGGAGGAGGAGGCGUUGCUACUCUCUGGCGCUUCGUUUGUGCUCUGGUACUCUGGGUACCUUUUCUUUUCAGUUGACUGGACUGGGGGGCAUCGGCACUUUUACUUCUGGUCCUUGCCGAUGCGCUGGUGUGCUGAUACAGAAAGGAAGAUUCGUAAGUACAAGUGCAACAGAUAUAAGAGUGAGAUCGGUAUGAAAAAUUUGAAAAUGUACCUUGAACGCCUGUGCUAAGGUAGAGGUAGCUACCGAUGGGGAUAUCUGAGUUCUCUUGGUGUAACUUUCUUGAGGCGUACACCUCGAUGCAUGAUGGCGGCCAGAGUGGGAGCGUUGUUGCCGAUUGAAGAGAUCGGACCUGAUGGAAGCAGAUCAAUCGGCUUGCCACUCCUGCUGACUGAUGGAGGAGUGUCAUCAACCUGCAAUAUAACACAGAAAGUGAGUUACCGAUGAGAAUGAGAAUAAAAGGGGUAGAGCAUCGGUUUGGAGAUACUUACAAUAUCAUCAGGGACCUUGUAUUGGGGAUCAAUCAUGCCACGGUAUGUAAGGGCCGAUCUGCAGAACAAGUGCUCCUUCAAUUCUUCCCACCAUUGCUUGUACGCCUGAGUGAUAAAGGCGGCCGGGACCCACUCUGAUAAAUCUGCAUCUGUAUCGGCACUCGGUGGCAGUUGGGCUACUCGAAUCCACUCAAGGAGGUUAGUGAUGGCUUCCCUGGGUUUUAUCGCAUCGGCAUAACAGAGUGCAAUCGGCAGCUGGCCGAAAGCUAAUUGACGAGCUAGUGCCGAUGGGUUAUAAAAUUCAUAGGUUUGGUUGGAGGUUUUCCCACUGCCAAAGAAGUUUACUGGUAUAACUCUGGGAGUGAUCAGUGCCAUCAUCACUUCAUGAUCCUUGUUGAGAGCAUCGUUGAAGGGUGGAAGACCAAAGGAAACAUAGUGUCUGGAUCGUCAUAAGGCAACCAUGCUCGCUGUUCUCUGGUCAAGCCUUCAUACAGGGUUUGGAAGAAUCGGCUGACCUGGUCUGCAUUACUCCCUGUACCAGGCAGAACUAUGGCAGCCUCGCCAAAGUUCAGAGUAGGGCGAGUUGCCGAUUCUUCCUCAUCCAGUUCAUAAUCCUCAGCUAUAUCCCUAGGGAAGCGCUGUGCGAAGAGGUUAAACUCGAGGCGCUUGUGCAUGCGGAGGCUAAGCCACAUGUUGAUAAACCACCAGGGACCCCCCAAGUUGCCGAUGGACUGGCCGAGGAGGAGUUUCUUAGCUACUUGGUGGAGGAGGUGGUAAGCUGCGCCAAGUAGGUAUCGGCCGAGAGGAAAUCGGCCACCAUUGGCUAAUCUUUCUGCUGCUGCUAGAUAGACGGAAGUUGGUCCUGUCGAUCGACCACAGAAUACGAAUUUGUCCAAUCACAUGUUUAGGAAGCUGGUCUGUUCCUUUUAUGUUAACAGGGCCUGUUCGUUUGUAUUUUUGGAUGUACCCUGACCAACUGCCGAUGGCACGAGUUUCUACCUUAGCACUAGGUUUGGUGUCGAAAAAAUGGGUGCUAUCGGCAGAGGAUACAUCUAAGCCAGUGAGCAUGACCACAUCGGCAAGUGUUGGGGAAGCAGGGCCAUGGCCAAACAUGAAGGCAUUGAGUGUGUCUGACCAAAAAUAUGAUGCAGCUAUCAGCAGUGACUCAUUCCUAUGCAUAUCGGCAAUGGACAGCCUGAUGCAUUGGUCCAGUUUUCUCUCACCUCAUUGGACUUCAUUUGAGUGGCUAACUCUCAAGAACCAAUCCUUCCAUCCCACGGUAGAACUAGGCCAGGAACGAAAGGUGUCCUUCCACAGAUCCAAAGAAAAGUUCUCGGCUCUAAAAAGGAUCAUGUUGGUUUCUACGUUAAUAAGGUCGGUGGGAUCUGGAUUCUCUAACGGACCAAGACAUUGGAGAUGUGGCUGAUCGGUAGGGAUGACGAUGUUAUUGGACAGAUCCUAAUGGUUUUGAAGGAAAAAGAAGAACAAAGAAAGAAAAAGAAAAAAUGUUCAGUAAAAUAAAUUGCGGAUGAACAGGGAUGCGGGAAAAAGCACAAAAGGUGGAAUGAAGAGCUAACCUCAGGGACGGUGAAGUUGAUGGCCAUCUCUUCACGAAGAGGAUGAUCGAAGGCUUCGGAGUUGGUGAAGAAGGGGCUUCGUUGGAGAUCUUGGAGCUCUCGAACAGCGCCGCCGCCGGAAAAGUGGAGUUGGAGCUGUAGAAUGAUGUGAUGGGGAAGGAGUACCCGAGAAGGAACUAUUUAUAGGACAAAAUGGGCGAGGGUAAAUCCGAUUUAUCACUUCGCCGUAUCCAUGAAAUCCGAGGAUACUCAGGAAGAUAUGGUAACUAUUCGCACGGUAAUCAAGAGAUUGCACUGGUGAUUUGACAGGAAGCGGUCGUGAUCUGGAGAUAUUUUACUGCGCGAGAUUUCCUGAUCGGUCCAUCGGCAGCGCCUUGUAACGGUCAUAUUGCCGAUGAGCGGAUAAAGUGGGGAUAUCCGUUUGGGAGGAUAAGAUACUUUGCUAAACAGAACGUCCUGGUCAGUCCAUCGGUAGGUCUCUGUAACGGUAACAUUGCCGAUGGGCGAAUAGAGUGGAAAUGUCCGUUUGGAAGGUUGAGGAUUUCGAGGGAUAUACGGAGGAAUCAAACCAGGGUUGUUCAAAUUAAGGUUGUCGGUUACCAAAUCGGGAGAAUUAAUUGCGGAAAGGAAUCAUUACUGCAGAGAAUUUCGGAGCAUUAAUGAUUUCAUACUCCGAAACUGGGGGGCAUGUGUUGACACCGUUUUUGGGCGCGUGUCCAGGAUCGGUAGAGUAUAGAUCGGCAGGACAGGGCAAAGGUAGCUGGUCUGCAGGAGAGUUGCCGAUGAGGGUGGUUGCCGAUGAGAAGACAGCUGGAUGUGGCUAAGUCCAUGGAUGGUGAUAUGUCUGUGCCGAUGGCCAGCACUAACCUCUGCCUGUGAUUGCGGUGAAGAAUCUGCUGAUGACGCGGGAGGAAGACUUGAAGAUUGCCGAUUGGUCUAUGGUGGCGUCCCAGACUGUCACGGAAAGAUAGUUUUAUGUUUUCCUUAGUUAUUUAAAUCGUUUUGUAUACGAAUUCUGUUUAAUUUGGAAUUCGAGUUCUAGUCAUGUCUGGUUGUAGCUCUUUUGAGCAGAGUAUAAAUGUAGACCCUAGGGCCUUGUAAUCGAGACAUCUAUCAAUCAAUCAAACACAAGUUUUUACUCAUAUUCCAGCAUCUACUUUUUCGACGACUUCGUCAUACUUUCCUUUUUAUUACGAGUUUCUCGGAAUUCGUCGACUCAAGCUCGGCGUGUUCUCAAGUUCCGCGUGAAUACCUCUCGACUCAAGCUCGGCGUGUUCUCAAGUUCCGCGUGAAUACCUCUUGGCCGUGGCAUCCGGGCGCAUCGCUGUUGUCGUGUAACGUCCCGCCUCCACGAGGCCGGACCCGCUUACAUCUGGCAGCUUUUCUAGGACAUAGUCAGCCCCCACAAACCAACACUGGUCUUUUCUGCACACUUUGUCCUCACUCGUGCGCACCCGAGAACUAGUUCCCGGUUGGUCACCCAUCCCUAAAUUGCUCCAGGCCAAGCACGCUUAACUUUAGAGUUUUUUUGGAGAUGGGCUUCCGGAAAAGAAGUUGCAACUUGUUGGUAUGAGUCUCCUAUUAAUCCUAUUGAGCCCUGGGCCGGGUGUUACAUCCUCACCCCCUUAAGAGAUCGACGUCCUCGUCGAUCAACCCCAAGCCAGGAACGUCCUCUCUUAGCCACGUCCGUGCAUCCAGUGCCAGCGCAUGUGCCAUGCUGUGUGACCACUCUGGGUCCACACCAGCCAUGCACACCAUGCCUGCGCAACUGCGACACACGCGCCCGUGAAACCGCGAGAGUCGGCUUUGAUACCAUUCUGUAACGUCCCGCCUCCACGAGGCCGGGCCCGCUUACAUCUGGCAGCUUUUCUAGGACAUAGUCAGCCCCCACAAACCAACACUGGUCUUUUCUGCACACUUUGUCCUCACUCGUGCGCACCCGGGAACUAGUUCCCGGUCGGUCACCCAUCCCUAAAUUGCUCCAGGCCAAGCACGCUUAACUUUAGAGUUUUUUUGGAGAUGGGCUUUCGGAAAAGAAGUUGCAACUUGUUGGUAUGAGUCUCCUAUUAAUCCUAUUGAGCCCUGGGCCGGGUGUUACAUGUCGGGACCAAAGUAUUCGAGUUAUCACCUUUGCCGAUAGUAAGGUCAAAUCGGCUGGCACGCCUUAACGUUUAAAUCGGGUAUUAGCCCUUUGUGUUUGCAGAUCAGCUUUUGCAUCAACAACGGGAUGUGGCUGCUCCUCGCUGCUAGCCGCCCCUAAAGCUCUUGUCGAGCAGGCAGAGGCUUGAUGCUGAGCAGGGCCUAUGGUUCUGUCGGAGGCCUGACAUGAGUCAAAAGGUUCAGAUGAAACAAUGAAACUGAUAUAGCUGAAACCCAAAUAUCUAUGCCAAGCAAACUCACUUAAAGUUACAUGCGAAAGAGAAGGUGCUUUACAUGCAAUCCAAAAUUGUAUAUAUUCAAAUAGGGCAAAGAAACAUAAGCACUGACAGCUAAUGCUCAUGAUUUUUUUAAUGUAUACAGUUUCAAAAGGAUAACUCCACCUUUCUCUCUCAGUUUUGACCGGACACAAUGCCUCUUGUAGAGCAUAUUUGUGAAAAUAUUUUUAUACAACUAAUGCACAUAUGAAAUCGACCAUGAAUAAAAAAUCAGCUAGAGACUUCAUAGGACUGAAAAUGAUACAUUGUGUCAUUAAAUAUGAAAGGUGUGUGGUAUUCAUUAAUUGACCAAAAAUUCUCAAAUAAUCACACAAGAUUCAGAAUGGAUCAGAAGACCUGCAUAUGCAAUCUGCACUAUGAAGUAACAUCGACAAAAAGGAUGAAAUUGCCCUAACUGUGUACGGAGGAAUAUCAUAUCCUUUAAUUUCUGACAUACUUAUUUGAACAUGUGUGUUUCUGAAUUUAUGCCUAACAACAAAAGUUUAAAGAAGACACAUCUGCAGACCCUUGGAAAGAAUGCAAUCGAUCAAUGCAAUAAUCCAGAAAGAUCAAUAGCAGCGCAGAUUAAUGCCAGAGAACUUGCAGGACACUACAGAGAGGACGAUGGAGAGCUACCCGUAGAUGUGGUUCGGGGGCUUGCAGGCUAGAAUCUCAUGCAACGGAGGCUCCAUCACUGGCGCUGCUUCUGUCGCGUCAUCAUACCCUAAGUGUCGCUUCCCCUUUGCUAUGUGCGUCCUCAGCUGCAGCCGCUUAGUUCUACCGGGAUCCGCAGCAAAGGAAGGCCGUGGGAUUUGGACCUGGACGAGGAGCGAUGGGGAUGGUGUUGCAGUGACAUGGGUGCGGGGACGGGGAACGGCGGCAUAUGCGGCCGCAGGGAGCGCGGACAGGGAGCGGCGACGUACGUGGCCGAGCUAGUGACUGCAGGGAUGGAGAGCGCGGCGGUGUACGCGGCCGUAGGAAGUGAGGACGGGGAGUUUAGGGGUUGUCGCAGGGAAGGGGAGGAGCAGAUGUGGGCGCAAGGAUGGAGAAAGCGUGUGGGAGAUGGUCGCAGGGCGUGAUUGGCGGAGCAGAAGGAGGGAGCGAGCGUCGCAGACCCGGCAGACGGACGAACGAAGAUGGAUUGUUGCACGAAAAAAUGUCCACUCUUUAGUCUUUUUAGUUGU
rnacentral:lncRNA from 1 species